CAGCCGCCGCGGGAAUACGUAGGUGGCGAGCGUUGUCCGGAAUUAUUGGGCGUAAAGGGAGCGCAGGCGGACAUAUAAGUCCAUCUUAAAAGUGCGGGGCUCAACCCCGUGAGGGGAUGGAAACUGUAUGCCUUGAGUGCAGGAGAGGAAAGCGGAAUUCCCAGUGUAGCGGUGAAAUGCGUAGAUAUUGGGAGGAACACCAGUGGCGAAGGCGGCUUUCUGGACUGUAACUGACGCUGAGGCUCGAAAGCCAGGGGAGCGAACGGGAUUAGAUACCCCAGUAGUCCCUGUCUCUUAUACA
rnacentral:rRNA from 1 species